GGAGCCGUAGUUCAGCCAGGUCAGAACGCCGGCCUGUCAAGCCGGAGGUCGCGGGUUCAAGUCCCGUCGGCUCCGCCA
rnacentral:tRNA from 2 species